UACGUACCGUCCAAACGUUAUUCGGAAUUACUGGGCUUAAAGGGUACGUAGGCGGCGCUGUCAGUCGGGUGUGAAAGCCCACGGCUCAACCGUGGAAUUGCGCCCGAUACUGCAGUGCUUGAGGGAGACAGAGGUAAGCGGAACUGAUGGUGGAGCGGUGAAAUGCGUUGAUAUCAUCAGGAACACCAGUGGCGAAAGCGGCUUACUGGGUCUCUUCUGACGCUGAGGUACGAAAGCUAGGGGAGCGAAGGGG
rnacentral:rRNA from 1 species